ensembl:lncRNA
GUUAGGGCAGACUAUAUAUAGGGAGUACAUAGAGGCGGGAUUAGAAGCCAUAAAGGAUACAUCGUGAUACAUAGGUACUACAUAGGGAGACAUGGGUAAUUUCAGCAUGUUGGUGGUGUGUGUUGCUGUGAUCUUCAGUCUGGUCUCAGUGAGUCAGGCGACUCCUGUUUCUCAAACCUGUGAGACUCUUCUGAAACCUCUAGAGAUGAAAACCAUAGACCCGGAGCCAGGACUUUGGUCAAAGUCCUCAUGGAUAACAUCUGGUCAGAGUUGUCACCAGGGCCACUCCCGAACAUGUUUAAAGUAACCUUUUAUGUAAAAAUGUUGGAUGGGACAUGUUCCAGUAGCAAUAUCAGUGUUGCCCUUGAAGACAACAAGCUCAACUGGACGUACAAUUUCCCUUCUUCCGCGGUCUUCCUGCCAACUUGUCCAGACUGUCUUUUGAACCAGAUUACAACCACCAUCAAUGGAAACAACUUCAUGUCUCUGGAACUCUACAGUAAGAGAAGAGAACUCUCCGCUGCUGAACUGUUUCAGUUCAAGACACAGGUUGCCUGUCUCAACUUGCCACAGGCAGUUUUCCUCAACUCUAAGACAGAACACUGUCCAGACACCACUGCAAGGAUUCCCAUCAUGGAAGAGAAGUACAUGGAGUUCAUUCAAUCUAUGGAGACCGAACCUCUCAAGGGAUUUUUUUCAGUAACAGAUUAUCUCAUUGAGAAGGCAGAAUGCCUGGGAUGGAUUUAAAGCAGGCUCAGUUAUCCUGGUGGACUGGAGCUUUCCAAUUGAUUCAGCUAAUAAAUGUCUUGGUGAGCAUCUAAUCUCACCAAGGGAUUUACUCAAGCAGAAUCACAUGGGUUUAACUGUACUCUGAAUGAAAGGGGAGUUGGUGAAACCAUUUAGACUUUUUGUCUUCAUAAAGAACCGCUUCACUAACCUUACAAAAUGAUGUUUUCUAAUGGAACUUAACAACACCUGAUGAAGGUCUGAGAUGAACUGUAAUAUCUACAGUGGCUGUGAUACUGUAAAAAAAUCUGUAGGUUUUCAACAGGUUGUAUGAACAGUUUUAUGCAUGAAAAUGAUACUAUACAUGAUGUGACUAGAGCUUCAUUCUGUGUCCUUAAAGGCCUUUCCGAUAACUACAUUUAUAUUGUUGUUGGUAUUUAUUUCUCCUGUCUUUUCGUCCUGUUUGCCCUUCAUUGAGUUUCAAUCCCUCCCAAUCGGUCCCACCCUCCCAACUGGAGAAAGGUUAUCUCUAAUCAUCCACUGCUCAUUGGUACCAUGUCAGUGAUCAGUGGAUUAACCCAAUCAGUUACAACCUCCACUGUCAGACAAUCUUUCACAGUAUUUGAUCAUGUCAUUGUCUCCUUCUGGAAUGCAUCCCUCCAUUCUGCCAUGGGUCUUCCUGGGUGUUUUUCCCUGUGUGUAUCAUAUGUGCAGAUACUGACCCAAAGAUUGUCUCUCCUAUUGCCUGACUCUGGUCCUCCAGGUCUUCCAGAACUACAGUCGUAGAUACAAUUACACCUUGAUGAUACGAUUUGACAACCGUUGCUUUACUUUGAGAAAUUAGCCAACGAUGGAUUUAGGCAGUACAUACAGAAUCUCACAAAAGUGAGUACACCCCUCACAUUUUUGUAAAUAUUUUAGUAUAUCUUUUCAUGUGACAACACUGAAGAAAUGAUGCUUUGCUACAAUGUAAAGUAGUGAGUGUACAGCUUGUAUAAAAGUGUAAAUUAGCUGUCCCCUCAAAAUAACUACACAAACAGCCAUUGAGUACACCCCUAAGUGAAAAUGUCUAAAUUGGGCCCAAUAAGCCAUUUUCCCUCCUCGGUGUCAUGUGACUCGUUAGGUGUGAAUGGGGAGCAGGUGUGUUAAAUGUGGUGUCAUCGCUCUCACACUUUCUUCAGUGUUGUCACAUGAAAAGAUAUAAUCAAAUAUUUACAAAAAUGUGAGAUACUGUACCUUUUUUGAUGAUAUGGUGAUAGAUUUAUGAUGUUACGAACGUGCCCCAAAAACAAAACUGAUGGUGAGAUACUGUAUAAUGUAAUGACAAUAAUUAAGAUGCAACGAAUAUUGCAAAAUACUCUAUAUCUAUAUAUAUUUUGUUGCAUUCUCAAAUCAUAAGUGUAUGCACCAAAACAAUAUUAUAAUGCGAAAAGUGCUAUAAAAAACAUUCAACAGAAGAA